GGCUUGGAGGGUGCCACUGACAUAAACCAGGACAGCGUCUUGGCUUCCCACCAUUUCUUUACACAGCCUGGCCCCUGACAGGAAGUGAGUAGCAGAGCCAGGAUUUCUAAGAGGCAGGAUAGGAUCUGAAUAGACUUGAACAAGGAAGAAAUGAGAGGGAAAAAAAAGAGCAAGAGAGUUAUGGAACUUUAGAAUCUGCGAUGUUCAAAUUCACCUGUAAAGAGAUUUACAGUCCAGGCCCUGUGAAGACAGAGGCCGCCUAGAGGAAAGAGCCGAAAAGCCUGGGGCCACCUGCAGGGAGAGAAAUGCAGAAAAGCCCAGAGGAGCAAAACCGCUUCUCAUGGCUCCUACCUGGUCCGCUGUCCUGGGGCUCCACACAGCACCCCAUCUGCACCGACUGCUCCCCUGCCUGGCUCGGAGAGAGUUCCCAUAGCACCUCAGCCUCGGCCGUCUGGAACUGAGUGCUUCCUCUAAGGCCCGACCUGUGGGCAUCCAUGAAUCACGGCUGAGUUCUUCACAGCUCAACAGCAGCCAUGCCCACUCCCCAACAGCUGGAAAGCCAGCAACAGACCCUCCCAGCGCUCUGCAGGCCACAAGCACACGUCCUGGGAGAAGAAGGCUCUAAGGGCAAAUCGGGUGGGGCGACCGCACGCUCGGGCAGGCUGGCUUCCUCCAGGACUCCUCAGAGGCUCGACCCUGUCAACGUGGCGGGAAUUUACAAGAGGAAGGAGCUGGGUGUGGAGGUGUCCCACACUAACUGGAUCCAGCAGCAGAGGGAAAAGGGCACCACGAGGCCUCUGUGGGGUGGAAGAGGGGGACAGCUGGAGGAACCAGAAGGUGAAACCCGAAGAUAGCCUCAGUCAGGCCGUGAAAUCUCCAGGGGAAGGCAUCGCCCCUGUGAGCCCCAGCUUCCUCAGCUGUACAGUGGAAUGGCUCAUCCCCACCGGGACACUUUAGGGAUGAAACAGGUCAUUGGAUGGGAAGCUUCCAGGUAGUGUCCCCAAGCUGAGGAGCAGCGUGGUCAGAGAGACCUCACCUGAAGGUGUCCCACGGGGUAACUGCAGGGUCAAAGGCACCAAGUGAGACCACAGAAAGGCCGUGAGUGACUGGCCGGAGGCCCCACAGCUAGCAAGGGAGAAGCCAGCGCCAAAGCCAGGCCCGGCUGGCCCCAGGCCGGUGCUCCUUCCGUGCUCAAACGGUCUCACUACAGUAAGGGUCACCCGACCUAUCGACCUGUCCCCUGGAGGCUGAAGCCUGUGGCCUGAGGACGGCCAGUCACAGCCAGCCCAUCUGAGUCCUCACCAUGCCUCAGACCUGGUGCUCAGCACCGAGUCUCAGCAAUGCCACCACCCUGCAGAAAGGCACGACUGCUAAUUCUACCCAUUACAACCCCGAGGACCAAGCAACCCAGUAGGGUGUAAAGCAUAUGGUACAGGCUUUAAAGACAGGGCCUCCUGCUCCCACACUGGGCUUCUUCCUUCCUAUGUCCCUGACCUUACGUAAUGCACUUCACUUCUCUGGAACUCUAUUUACCCAUUCACAGAAUGGGUACAGCCUACUGCACAGGGUUGAGGAUAAAUCUCAGUCUCUGCUAAAUCACAUCUAGCAGAGACUGACUUCUCAAUGACUAUAAGCAGAUAACAAUUCCACAGUCGUCGUCAUUGUCAUUACUAGCAUUGUUACGCUUUGUCUCAGACCAGUGGACCCUUCGCUAUCUCUCCUCCAGUAGGAAGUUGGUGGAGUCUCUGGUGAUCAGGGCGAGUAGGAAAUCCUAGAAAGCCCUAGUGCACCCCAUCACAAGCUGUGCACCCCAAGCCCUAGUUUCUUCACCUGUAAAAUGGGAUAAUAGCACCUGUUUCAGGGAAUGCUGAAACCAGUAGGACAGGGGAGAAGGAAAGAGGGAAGGAGGGAAAGAAGGGGAGGGAGAAAAAGAGGAGAGGGAGGGAGGUGGAAGAGCAGAAACUAAGGGAGAAGGGACAAAGGAUGUGGGGGGAACCAAGUGAGAUGCAGAGUCCUGGAGCAGGAGUCAGGAGAGCUCUCCUCCCCCAUGGCCUUGCUGUGUGACCUCGGGCUCGUCUCUUUCCCUCUCUGGGCACUGGACCGGCCCUGUACAUUGACUAGCUCAGACUUGCCCAGUCCAAGCCCUUUCAAGCACUCAUCGUCCAGCCCUUUAGGAGGCUCUUGGGAGAGGCGGAGACUCUGCCUUGAACAGAUACAUGGCAGAGUUACUACCAACAAGCCUGGGCUAGCCUGCACUUGGGCCCAGAGCCUGCACCCCAGGCCCCCUGCACAGGGAAGCCAUCCAGCCUGGACCCCGCCGUCCUGCACCUCCUGACUUGAGAGCUCUGGCUGCGCUUUAGUUCAGAGCCUGAAGAGUGAGCACAGCUGGGCCCACUGUCGGCCCGGGCCCCAGGGCAUCAGCUGCCUUGGGGAAGGUAAGGCCUGGACUCCGCACUCCUCCUGACUCAGGGUGAAGCUGGCUCACACUGGUCCAGGGCCUCUGGGAAGGGGACGGGGAGGAAGGGAGCCCCUCGGGAUGGUGACAGAGUGCUGAGCAUGGGGGCUGGCCCGGUGUCUCUGAGGGAAACAGAAGCCUGCCCCUGGCCUCAGUGACAGCACAGACCAGGCAGGAGAUCUAGCUCUAUGCCACUUCAACUUGUAUGAUAUGAGUUUGUGACUUCACCUCUCUACAGACAUGACAGCACAGCACUUACCACAGGCGUGUGAGGGCUUGAUGUGCUGGCCCACCCUCAGGAGCACUCAGGGAACUGGGCGGUGUGCACAGGAGUGCUGAACACCAGAUGCAGGCUUUAUCUAGUGGUCCUUCUGCAGGGACCCACACUCCCAAAUGCUCGCCUGUGUACACAGCCGUCUGUGCACAAAGACAGGCUGGGUCCUGCUAUUUAUGAUCCCCAAACAGCAGGAAACCAUAUGAAUGCUCACAGGAAAACUGUUAGAUAAACUGAGGCCCAUCCAGUCCAGGAAAUUUCUUUGGCCAGCAAAUAGGGACUUCACCAUAAACCACGAGGAUGAGAAGGAACUGUGUUAACAGCAGCAACCAACACACUGACCCUGCAUCAGCUGUGUGUGGCAGGCAGCUAAGUGCAGCUCUGAAGGCCGGCUUGUAGCUCAGGUGACAGUAACACACUGUGUCAGCAAUCUGGCUGUGAAUGUGUUGUAACCCUGAAUGAUGCCAACACCAGGGGACACCAUGGAGGGUCCAUGGGACUCUCAGUAUGGCAUUUAUAACUUCCCAUGAGUUGAGUUACUUUAAAUCAAAAACUCAAGGAGAAAAUGUCUGGGGGUUAACUCAGACAAUUAAGGUCAAUAAGAAGCAGCUGGCAAAUCCUUUGGAAGACAAACAAUUAAGCACCCUACUGCUUUUGGAGAAAAACACCAGGCAGCGUGACCAUGCAAUUACCACGCAUCUUGGGGGCUGUUUUGGUUGAGCUCUAUUGUCAUUCUGAGAAGCAAUGUGGGGUGGUGGAAAGCCUGAUUUCUGGGGAGGAGCACAUGUCUUCUAGAGUUGCAGGACCACAGGGAUGGGGAGGAAUAAAGACCAGCCCAAGAAGCCUUCCCUCCUAAAUUGUGCAGGGCAACUCCUCCAAAUGCUGGAUUUCCCACCCAUAAAAACAAGAAUAACAAGAACAGUAGAGCUUUCAAUAUUCAGACCAAAUAAGGGAAGUCUUACAAGAAUGCUGGGAGGCAGACAAUAUUAUGAGCCCAUUUUACAGAUGAGAAAACUGAGUCAGGGGGCAGGUGAACUAAGAAUACUGGUCACCUGUAGCUUUGAUUCUGAGCUCUCCUCCAUGCUGCAUAGCAGGACAACCUUCCAUACCGAGGGCUGCAUGGGAGCCGAAGGAUUGGAUGGAGACUGGGUGUAGCUGGAAGGGUGUAGCUAGGAGGGAGCAGCAAUGUGAGCACCCCAAAUGCUCCUGGGCCUAGGCCAGGCAGGCAGCCUUGUGGAGGAGACACAGAGAAAAUCUGGAGGCAGACAGGCCCUUUGUUCAGCCUUCACUCCAUCACUCUGAUUUUGACCAGGAAGCCUAAGCUCUCCUGAGCCUCGGUGUCCUGUCCCACAAAAUGGUGCCUCUGGUCCAUGUACCUGGUUGCAGUGCAUUGGCCACAAAGCUGUCAGUGACUUUAUUCCACGAAUUCUUCGCCCAAGUCACAACCACUUGCAAGCUGGGCUUCCCAACGUAUCCAUGAAAUUAAGUGUACAUUGAGGACUUAAGAGACAGGAGUGCAAUAAAAAAUGACGUCAGGUAAGAAUGAUGAUCCACACAAAAGAAUGAAAAACACUAGCCGCCAAAAUUCAAAAACAUUUAUUUCAUAUGAGUACACUAGGUACACCCAUUACAGCACACGGCAUACUGAAUUACGAAGAUCCAGAUUAGACACAAGCACGUCCAUUUGUCACCAAGUGCACACGGUGUGUGUGUGCUGUGUCUGUACUCUUCUUGUCUGGCCAUUUGGCAAUAAACCUUGAGUUCACCUCUUUACAUAGGCAUAUACCUGUUCUUCAAAAGCACCGCUUAGGUAUUUACAAAUAUAGGUUGUAUUAUUUGAAGUAUUGUCAAUAAUUUAUAUUAAUUAUAUACUGAUACUAUAAUUCAAUACAUCCAUCACAUGUUGCAGCAGAUGGACUAGAUGCACCCAUCAGGCUGAACAUCUUGACUGGGGCUUACUUUGGGGUAGGGUUUAUAUUACAAGCAUCCUGAAAAAUCGUGCCAAGGCUUAUUUUGUAGUUAUGUCUUAUUUUCAGGGAAAUAUGGUAUCACUGGAAUAGCCAGAGAUUUUUAUUUCUCUGGGUCCAACGGUCCCAGGUCAGCUUUAAAGCAGUUACAGAAGAUGCAGCUUCACCUGUCAGCUCCCCUAAGAUUAAGGAAGAUGAAAUCUCUGAGGGUGAAAUGAGAAAGAUUAGAAACCCUCGGUUCCCACUUUUCCCUUGCACAGGUGGAGAGGGUAUGAGGCUUUGCCAGUGGCAGAUGAAGACUCGCUUUGGUGUUCCUGGAGACCCGCUUGUGAUUUACUUCUUGAGUAGUGUAGGCAGCAAAAGUCCCAUAAAUCUAUUUGGGAUUUUUCAUCCUGAGAGGACAGAGCAGUCAUUUCAAAAGAAAGAGCAACAAACACUCAGAACUUUCAGCACUAAAGAGCUCCGGAGACCAGAAGUGGAGACUGUUCACCGGACUUGACCUUGGUGUCAGGCACAUCGAGCAUCAGACAGUGUGGCUGGUACUGGCAGUGACCAGCAGCUCAGUGUCAGCUGUCGGCAGCCAGCAGUACUCGGUGUCAUCUGGUGCCGUCAGGACUGCCAGCAGAGCUGCACCUUACAAUUUAUGAUGUCAUUUCCAACUGAAACCUAGGCAGAUUUGCAACACUACUAUUGAUAGUAUUUUAGUUUUAUUGCAUGAAAUACAGGAAA